rnacentral:rRNA from 1 species
GUGGGGAAUAUUGGACAAUGGGGGGUACCCUGAUCCAGCCAUGCCGCGUGUGUGAAGAAGGCCUUUUGGUUGUAAAGCACUUUAAGCGAGGAGGAGGCUACCGAGAUUAAUACUCUUGGAUAGUGGACGUUACUCGCAGAAUAAGCACCGGCUAACUCUGUGCCAGCAGCCGCGGUAAUACAGAGGGUGCGAGCGUUAAUCGGAUUUACUGGGCGUAAAGCGUGCGUAGGCGGCUUUUUAAGUCGGAUGUGAAAUCCCUGAGCUUAACUUAGGAAUUGCAUUCGAUACUGGGAAGCUAGAGUAUUGGAGAGGAUGGUAGAAUUCCAGGUGUAGCGGUGAAAUGCGUAGAGAUCUGGAGGAAUACCGAUGGCGAAGGCAGCCAUCUGGCCUAAUACUGACGCUGAGGUACGAAAGCAUGGGGAGCAAACGGGAUUAGAUACCCGAGUAGUCC